AUAUAUAUAUAUAUAUAUAUCAAGUGGAAGAUAAUAAUGUUCAAUAUCCACUGACUUUCUUAUUGGCAGCUAAGCUUCCUCCUCUUCUUGAAGGUUCAGUGGCCACGGGUGGCUCCAUAUCUUCCUGUGUGGUCAAUGCUGGUGUAGGACCAACAUAUUUGGUGACACUCUAAAAAGAGUAAGGGAUUGUAGAUAGUGCUGUAUGUGGGGGUGUGACAAGAGGUGGGGGAUAUCCCAGGAGGCUUGAACUAUGUAGAUUUAACUCAAUGUAACUUUAAACAAAUUUGAAAACAGCCUAUAAUUUCACAAGCGUGACCCAACAUUGGCUUAUGAUCUUCCAUAUAUUAUUACUUCAUCUAAAAAAUGAAGUAAAUUCAACCGCCUGCUCACAGGUCAGUUGCCUUCCAAAGGUGCACCUCUAAGUGGGUUGACUUUAAUCUCAGAAUAUAUUUCUGCAUGGAAAUCAUGUCAAAUGCCUUCCUGGCUCCCAAAGUUUAGGUACUGCUCAACAGCUUAAUUUUACCCCUGGCUUAUCCUCCUCACCAACUUUACUUUACCAGAUGCAAACCCAAGGUUGUACCUAGUUCUGCACCCUGCUCAAGGUCACCCAGUUAAGAGGGAUCUAAAUCCAGCUCUACCCAAUCUGAAGUCUUCACUUCUCCUCACACUACCCCUUAGCCAGACAAACUUGCUUACUUCUAUUUUUCCUUUCUUGAUAAUCUCUUGGAAGAAGCCAGUGUUAGGCUAAAUUUGGUAGAUCUAGGAGGGUAUUUUCCCAGUAGGCUAUUUUUCCUACAAGUCCAGGUAUGGCCAUUCUGGCUGUCCCCAGCCUGCUGCAAUGUACUGGGGCCUCACACCACUGCCCAGAGACCCUGUGCCCAGAUGACCCUAUGUCCAGGACACAGAGUCUCCUCAGGGAAGAGUGGAGGAGUAGGGGAAGGAGACACCAUGGAAAGUUCAAGAGAAAGGACCAGAAGGUUCUUCCAGGGCUAGACUCCCAGAGCAGCCAGAGAUCCCUCUCUAUCUUGUCCUACAAGAUCAGGUCUAGACCUGGCCAGCAGCUCCCAGGCUCUAACCCCACCCUCUCACCAGUGAGCUGGACCCACCUAGCCCCACCCACUGCCUGCUGUGAGGACUGCAGCCUUUAUUUAAAGUGCUCACUUGUUUAUUUGGAUGAGUUCCCUGAGUUAGAGCCACAACUCCUCAAGGGUCCUGAGGACUGGUAGCUGGUCCUGGGGUGACAAAAGGCAGGCAGCAUGCAGAGGAACUUGGUGAGGUGACUGUAAUGGAGAAUGAUCAGUUUCCCAGCUCUUAUACAUCUUGAGCAGAGAAGCAUCCUUGGGAUCAUUUCACUGCAAUGGCACCAUCAUGAAAUGGUGGCAUAUGGUGGCAAGAGCAGCAUCCAGCUGUUUUGGGCAUAGGGCAUCAGGCCUCAAAAGUCAGGAGUUGAGUAUUGGCAUGGGGUGUGGGUGACUGUGGUGGUGUCAGCAUGCAGCUGUGAUUUGGGAGUUCCUUGCUUCCUACUCAUGGUGGCGCUGACAGUGGAAGAAUCCAGAAACAGUGGUUGUAACAACAGAUGCAUCCAGCCAUGAGUGUUUUCAUCUGCCAUAGUGACAAGGGUCUGGCUGCAGUUGCAAUGAAGUUGGCCCCAGUACUGAGUGUCACUGUCUAGUAUCCAUGUUAAAGUCUGGUGGCAGCAGGGUGUAGCUCCAGAGUCUGGCAGGGGCGGGAGCAACAUGCAGCUGCAUCAGGGGUCCAGCCUCAGUAUAGGGGUUGGGCACCAGGUGUGGGGUGGGCAGUGUUGGAGUCCAUCUGGAGUUUGGAAGUUUGAGUGCUGCACAAUGGUGGUGGCACCAUAAGAGUUCAGAAGCAGGGGCAGCAACAACAGGCAGUGUCCAGCAGUGAGAAUCUUCAUCCUGCAGAAGUAACUGGGGUCCGGCUGCAGGGCAGUGAAGGUGGCAUCCAGUAGCCAUGUGGGGAGUCUGGUUGGCCGCAGCGAAGAGCUCCAGGCUGGCAUGUCAGCAAGGGCAUGGGAUAGUGGGUGUCAGAGUGAGAAGGUAACCGGUAGCUGGGAUGUCCUCUGUGGUGGAGGCUCCAGGCCCUGGUCUUGCUCCUGGUCGACUGGCCUGCUCAGGAAGAAGCACGUGGGAGGCAGUGGUACCCAGGCAGCUGCCCGGGACCUUAUGCUGCCCACAUCUGCCAUGUCUCGCUCUGGCCAUGAGCCCACUGGAUGUCUGCUCACCCCAUCACCUGAUAUAGCCUCUCUACUGAGGAACUAGGCUGUCUGCUAGGUUGGGGCGGUCUUGGGAGAGAACCUCACCAUACCCAGCCACAUCCUGCAUGGACUGUGGGUGCAGAAAGCAGAGGUCCUAGGACAUCGUCACCCCCAAAGUGCAUUUCUGUGGCUGGGGGUGGCAGAAGACCAAGACAGAGAACUCGUUGCCCUUAGACUCCCACUGCCACCUGUGCCCUCCACCCUUGUCCUGCCCCAGGGAUGCACUUGGAGGGUGAGGAUUUUCUAGGCCCCCCCACCUCCCACCUCUGCACUCUGCUACCACAGCCAAGGGGAGAUGUAGCUGGGGAGGGUGGGUGUCUUCUCCCAAGGCUGCCCAGCUGGCAGCAGGCCUACUCAUCCCUCAGAGGCUGCAACUCAGGGAGGGGCAGGGUGAACUCAAGGAUUAGGUGAGCAGCCUGGUGGACUCCAGGCCAAUGCCAGGCAUUGGUGGAAUGGGCAGCAUAAGGUACUCAGCAGGUGUCUGGGUACCACCAGCUCCUGCGCCCUGCUUCGUGAGCAGGCAGGCCCUACCAGGAGCAAUGCCAGUUGCCUGGAGGAGCCACUGCAGAGGCCAUCACAGCCUCUAGUCGUCCUCUGACUCUGAGGCCUGCUGUCCCAAGCUUUCACCAUCACCGCUAACAGAGCUCCACACUGCGGCCACUGGAGUCCCCACAGGGCCACCAGUGAUGCCGCAGCCACCAUCACUGCACUGGGACCAGACUCCUGCCACUACCAGAGGAUGAGAAUGCUCCUCUCUGGAUGCCUGGCUUGACGUUGCCACCUACAGACUCCUUGGUUGCCUUUGCCACCGCUGCCAUAACUGAACUUCAGACACCAAUACCUCCACAGAUUCCAAACGCCAAGGCUUCACUGCCCAGGCUCCUGCCCAUGGCUGUCCUCCAAGCCUGAGGCCAAUUCUCCAUCCUGCCACUGAUACAUCUGGGCUCCUCAAACUGCCUUAAGACACCUAGGCUCGCUGUUUCACAUUCUCCCCACACAUGGAUGCUGACACUGCUCCUGGUCACUGGGAACCUCCAAUGGGAAACCCUGCUGUGGAACGCUGAGGUUGGCUUCUAUAUGCUUCAGUCCCAGAAACCAGACUUCUUUCACAGCCACUAGAUGCCUUUGCAGGUGCCACCUAUACCUCCAGGCUUGGGAAGGGUCCAGCACAUGCCCUUCCAUGCCUGCUGCCUGUUCAUAUCUGUCCGUGGAAUAAACCAUUGAUUGGGUUAAAGCUCUCAGAACUGAAUCAUUUCACUGAUAAUCCUUGUAUUGGCUCGCCCAUGAGCUUCUGGGGACACCUACUACCUAAAGCACAACACAUCUUCAUCGAAUAGCUUAGCAAGACCUUCUAGAUGACUUGCAAGAGCUUCUACAUCAGCACUUGUUUCUUUGCCUUGCACUUUUAUUUUAUGGAGAGGGGCCUCUUGCCAAAAACAUAAUGGACCAAACUCUGGCACCUUCAAACUUCUUCUGCAGCUUUCUCACUUCUCUUGUCAGUAUAACAAUCUAAAGUGAUGGCCUUAUCUGGAUUUGGCUUCAUCUUCAUAGAACGUGGGUUGUUUCUUCUUUUCUUCAGAAUAUAAAAAGUUUUUCCAGAUCAGCAAUAAGGCUGUUCUUGCUUUCUAGUCAUAUACAUAUGCCCUGGAGCAGCACUUUAAUUUCCUUCUUGAACAUUUCCUUUGCAUUCUCAGUGUGACAAAGUAGUGUAAGAGUCACAGCUUUUUAUUUGAAGUGCAAAACGUAAGAAGACUCUUCUUUUUAUUCAAACAAUACAGACCAUUACUGAGUCAUUAACGGUUCUAACUUCAAUAUUGUGUCUUGAAGAAUAAGAGGAUGGUGAGCCAUGAUCUGUGGAGCAAUAAGAAUGUACAUAUUAAGGUUUUUAUCUUAUAUGAGUGGGAUUUGUAGUGCCACAUGACAGUUAAAAUAGAUCAUAGUAUGAGUUAUAAUGGCCUAAAAUCUUCAACACUCAUUAGGCAGUCCCUUCUGCUCCAUAACAGGGGCAUCUAUCUCACCUCAUCCUUCAUGGCCUGUUUGCAUCCUCUCUCACAGCACCUAUGAGCUCUACAUGGGCUCCGUCAGCAGAUACGCAGUACUGGUGGUGGCACAGCCUGGUGAAUGGAUUAAGCACUUUUAGGUCAACAUAAAAGAAUGUCACUAAAAAUACUUACAAUGCCAUAAGAAUUAGCAUCACAAAAAAUAAAAUAGAUAAUCUCAGAGGGGAGGGGAAGGAUAGCUGUGCUGGGGGUUCUGGCACUGGGUAAUGCUCAGGAGCUCACAUGUGGGAGAUGCCAUUGAAAAGUUUAGAACUAGGGAAGUGAGGAUACAUUCUAGGAGAUGUGGAGGGCUGUGGCCUAAUAGUUUCUUGACCUCCUGCCUCUAUUGUUUUGGACCCUGAAUUUAUAUUGCUGCCAGGAAAGGUGGCUCUCUUUCAAAGGAUGGGAUGGCAGCUUGGAGCACCAUAUGUACUAUCUAUCUAUCUAUCUAUCUAUCUAUCUAUAUAUCUAUAUAUAUAUAUAUAUAUAUAUAUAUAUAUAUAUAUAUAUAUAUAUAGAUAUAUAUAUAUCAAGUGGAAGAUAAUAAUGUUCAAUAUCCACUGACUUUCUUAUUGGCAGCUAAGCUUCCUCCUCUUCUUGAAGGUUCAGUGGCCACGGGUGGCUCCAUAUCUUCCUGUGUGGUCAAUGCUGGUGUAGGACCAACAUAUUUGGUGACACUCUAAAAAGAGUAAGGGAUUGUAGAUAGUGCUGUAUGUGGGGGUGUGACAAGAGGUGGGGGAUAUCCCAGGAGGCUUGAACUAUGUAGAUUUAACUCAAUGUAACUUUAAACAAAUUUGAAAACAGCCUAUAAUUUCACAAGCGUGACCCAACAUUGGCUUAUGAUCUUCCAUAUAUUAUUACUUCAUCUAAAAAAUGAAGUAAAUUCAACCGCCUGCUCACAGGUCAGUUGCCUUCCAAAGGUGCACCUCUAAGUGGGUUGACUUUAAUCUCAGAAUAUAUUUCUGCAUGGAAAUCAUGUCAAAUGCCUUCCUGGCUCCCAAAGUUUAGGUACUGCUCAACAGCUUAAUUUUACCCCUGGCUUAUCCUCCUCACCAACUUUACUUUACCAGAUGCAAACCCAAGGUUGUACCUAGUUCUGCACCCUGCUCAAGGUCACCCAGUUAAGAGGGAUCUAAAUCCAGCUCUACCCAAUCUGAAGUCUUCACUUCUCCUCACACUACCCCUUAGCCAGACAAACUUGCUUACUUCUAUUUUUCCUUUCUUGAUAAUCUCUUGGAAGAAGCCAGUGUUAGGCUAAAUUUGGUAGAUCUAGGAGGGUAUUUUUCCUACAAGUCCAGGUAUGGCCAUUCUGGCUGUCCCCAGCCUGCUGCAAUGUACUGGGGCCUCACACCACUGCCCAGAGACCCUGUGCCCAGAUGACCCUAUGUCCAGGACACAGAGUCUCCUCAGGGAAGAGUGGAGGAGUAGGGGAAGGAGACACCAUGGAAAGUUCAAGAGAAAGGACCAGAAGGUUCUUCCAGGGCUAGACUCCCAGAGCAGCCAGAGAUCCCUCUCUAUCUUGUCCUACAAGAUCAGGUCUAGACCUGGCCAGCAGCUCCCAGGCUCUAACCCCACCCUCUCACCAGUGAGCUGGACCCACCUAGCCCCACCCACUGCCUGCUGUGAGGACUGCAGCCUUUAUUUAAAGUGCUCACUUGUUUAUUUGGAUGAGUUCCCUGAGUUAGAGCCACAACUCCUCAAGGGUCCUGAGGACUGGUAGCUGGUCCUGGGGUGACAAAAGGCAGGCAGCAUGCAGAGGAACUUGGUGAGGUGACUGUAAUGGAGAAUGAUCAGUUUCCCAGCUCUUAUACAUCUUGAGCAGAGAAGCAUCCUUGGGAUCAUUUCACUGCAAUGGCACCAUCAUGAAAUGGUGGCAUAUGGUGGCAAGAGCAGCAUCCAGCUGUUUUGGGCAUAGGGCAUCAGGCCUCAAAAGUCAGGAGUUGAGUAUUGGCAUGGGGUGUGGGUGACUGUGGUGGUGUCAGCAUGCAGCUGUGAUUUGGGAGUUCCUUGCUUCCUACUCAUGGUGGCGCUGACAGUGGAAGAAUCCAGAAACAGUGGUUGUAACAACAGAUGCAUCCAGCCAUGAGUGUUUUCAUCUGCCAUAGUGACAAGGGUCUGGCUGCAGUUGCAAUGAAGUUGGCCCCAGUACUGAGUGUCACUGUCUAGUAUCCAUGUUAAAGUCUGGUGGCAGCAGGGUGUAGCUCCAGAGUCUGGCAGGGGCGGGAGCAACAUGCAGCUGCAUCAGGGGUCCAGCCUCAGUAUAGGGGUUGGGCACCAGGUGUGGGGUGGGCAGUGUUGGAGUCCAUCUGGAGUUUGGAAGUUUGAGUGCUGCACAAUGGUGGUGGCACCAUAAGAGUUCAGAAGCAGGGGCAGCAACAACAGGCAGUGUCCAGCAGUGAGAAUCUUCAUCCUGCAGAAGUAACUGGGGUCCGGCUGCAGGGCAGUGAAGGUGGCAUCCAGUAGCCAUGUGGGGAGUCUGGUUGGCCGCAGCGAAGAGCUCCAGGCUGGCAUGUCAGCAAGGGCAUGGGAUAGUGGGUGUCAGAGUGAGAAGGUAACCGGUAGCUGGGAUGUCCUCUGUGGUGGAGGCUCCAGGCCCUGGUCUUGCUCCUGGUCGACUGGCCUGCUCAGGAAGAAGCACGUGGGAGGCAGUGGUACCCAGGCAGCUGCCCGGGACCUUAUGCUGCCCACAUCUGCCAUGUCUCGCUCUGGCCAUGAGCCCACUGGAUGUCUGCUCACCCCAUCACCUGAUAUAGCCUCUCUACUGAGGAACUAGGCUGUCUGCUAGGUUGGGGCGGUCUUGGGAGAGAACCUCACCAUACCCAGCCACAUCCUGCAUGGACUGUGGGUGCAGAAAGCAGAGGUCCUAGGACAUCGUCACCCCCAAAGUGCAUUUCUGUGGCUGGGGGUGGCAGAAGACCAAGACAGAGAACUCGUUGCCCUUAGACUCCCACUGCCACCUGUGCCCUCCACCCUUGUCCUGCCCCAGGGAUGCACUUGGAGGGUGAGGAUUUUCUAGGCCCCCCCACCUCCCACCUCUGCACUCUGCUACCACAGCCAAGGGGAGAUGUAGCUGGGGAGGGUGGGUGUCUUCUCCCAAGGCUGCCCAGCUGGCAGCAGGCCUACUCAUCCCUCAGAGGCUGCAACUCAGGGAGGGGCAGGGUGAACUCAAGGAUUAGGUGAGCAGCCUGGUGGACUCCAGGCCAAUGCCAGGCAUUGGUGGAAUGGGCAGCAUAAGGUACUCAGCAGGUGUCUGGGUACCACCAGCUCCUGCGCCCUGCUUCGUGAGCAGGCAGGCCCUACCAGGAGCAAUGCCAGUUGCCUGGAGGAGCCACUGCAGAGGCCAUCACAGCCUCUAGUCGUCCUCUGACUCGGAGGCCUGCUGUCCCAAGCUUUCACCAUCACCGCUAACAGAGCUCCACACUGCGGCCACUGGAGUCCCCACAGGGCCACCAGUGAUGCCGCAGCCACCAUCACUGCACUGGGACCAGACUCCUGCCACUACCAGAGGAUGAGAAUGCUCCUCUCUGGAUGCCUGGCUUGACGUUGCCACCUACAGACUCCUUGGUUGCCUUUGCCACCGCUGCCAUAACUGAACUUCAGACACCAAUACCUCCACAGAUUCCAAACGCCAAGGCUUCACUGCCCAGGCUCCUGCCCAUGGCUGUCCUCCAAGCCUGAGGCCAAUUCUCCAUCCUGCCACUGAUACAUCUGGGCUCCUCAAACUGCCUUAAGACACCUAGGCUCGCUGUUUCACAUUCUCCCCACAGAUGGAUGCUGACACUGCUCCUGGUCACUGGGAACCUCCAAUGGGAAACCCUGCUGUGGAACGCUGAGGUUGGCUUCUAUAUGCUUCAGUCCCAGAAACCAGACUUCUUUCACAGCCACUAGAUGCCUUUGCAGGUGCCACCUAUACCUCCAGGCUUGGGAAGGGUCCAGCACAUGCCCUUCCAUGCCUGCUGCCUGUUCAUAUCUGUCCGUGGAAUAAACCAUUGAUUGGGUUAAAGCUCUCAGAACUGAAUCAUUUCACUGAUAAUCCUUGUAUUGGCUCGCCCAUGAGCUUCUGGGGACACCUACUACCUAAAGCACAACACAUCUUCAUCGAAUAGCUUAGCAAGACCUUCUAGAUGACUUGCAAGAGCUUCUACAUCAGCACUUGUUUCUUUGCCUUGCACUUUUAUUUUAUGGAGAGGGGCCUCUUGCCAAAAACAUAAUGGACCAAACUCUGGCACCUUCAAACUUCUUCUGCAGCUUUCUCACUUCUCUUGUCAGUAUAACAAUCUAAAGUGAUGGCCUUAUCUGGAUUUGGCUUCAUCUUCAUAGAACGUGGGUUGUUUCUUCUUUUCUUCAGAAUAUAAAAAGUUUUUCCAGAUCAGCAAUAAGGCUGUUCUUGCUUUCUAGUCAUAUACAUAUGCCCUGGAGCAGCACUUUAAUUUCCUUCUUGAACAUUUCCUUUGCAUUCUCAGUGUGACAAAGUAGUGUAAGAGUCACAGCUUUUUAUUUGAAGUGCAAAACGUAAGAAGACUCUUCUUUUUAUUCAAACAAUACAGACCAUUACUGAGUCAUUAACGGUUCUAACUUCAAUAUUGUGUCUUGAAGAAUAAGAGGAUGGUGAGCCAUGAUCUGUGGAGCAAUAAGAAUGUACAUAUUAAGGUUUUUAUCUUAUAUGAGUGGGAUUUGUAGUGCCACAUGACAGUUAAAAUAGAUCAUAGUAUGAGUUAUAAUGGCCUAAAAUCUUCAACACUCAUUAGGCAGUCCCUUCUGCUCCAUAACAGGGGCAUCUAUCUCACCUCAUCCUUCAUGGCCUGUUUGCAUCCUCUCUCACAGCACCUAUGAGCUCUACAUGGGCUCCGUCAGCAGAUACGCAGUACUGGUGGUGGCACAGCCUGGUGAAUGGAUUAAGCACUUUUAGGUCAACAUAAAAGAAUGUCACUAAAAAUACUUACAAUGCCAUAAGAAUUAGCAUCACAAAAAAUAAAAUAGAUAAUCUCAGAGGGGAGGGGAAGGAUAGCUGUGCUGGGGGUUCUGGCACUGGGUAAUGCUCAGGAGCUCACAUGUGGGAGAUGCCAUUGAAAAGUUUAGAACUAGGGAAGUGAGGAUACAUUCUAGGAGAUGUGGAGGGCUGUGGCCUAAUAGUUUCUUGACCUCCUGCCUCUAUUGUUUUGGACCCUGAAUUUAUAUUGCUGCCAGGAAAGGUGGCUCUCUUUCAAAGGAUGGGAUGGCAGCUUGGAGCACCAUAUGUACUAUCUAUCUAUCUAUCUAUCUAUCUAUCUAUCUAUAUAUAUAUAUAUAUAUAUAUAUAUAUAUACAUAUAUAUAUAUAUAGAGAGAGAGAGAGAGAGAGAUCAAGUGGAAGAUAAUAAUGUUCAAUAUCCACUGACUUUCUUAUUGGCAGCUAAGCUUCCUCCUCUUCUUGAAGGUUCAGUGGCCACGGGUGGCUCCAUAUCUUCCUGUGUGGUCAAUGCUGGUGUAGGACCAACAUAUUUGGUGACACUCUAAAAAGAGUAAGGGAUUGUAGAUAGUGCUGUAUGUGGGGGUGUGACAAGAGGUGGGGGAUAUCCCAGGAGGCUUGAACUAUGUAGAUUUAACUCAAUGUAACUUUAAACAAAUUUGAAAACAGCCUAUAAUUUCACAAGCGUGACCCAACAUUGGCUUAUGAUCUUCCAUAUAUUAUUACUUCAUCUAAAAAAUGAAGUAAAUUCAACCGCCUGCCUCACAGGUCAGUUGCCUUCCAAAGGUGCACCUCUAAGUGGGUUGACUUUAAUCUCAGAAUAUAUUUCUGCAUGGAAAUCAUGUCAAAUGCCUUCCUGGCUCCCAAAGUUUAGGUACUGCUCAACAGCUUAAUUUUACCCCUGGCUUAUCCUCCUCACCAACUUUACUUUACCAGAUGCAAACCCAAGGUUGUACCUAGUUCUGCACCCUGCUCAAGGUCACCCAGUUAAGAGGGAUCUAAAUCCAGCUCUACCCAAUCUGAAGUCUUCACUUCUCCUCCCACUACCCCUUAGCCAGACAAACUUGCUUACUUCUAUUUUUCCUUUCUUGAUAAUCUCUUGGAAGAAGCCAGUGUUAGGCUAAAUUUGGUAGAUCUAGGAGGGUAUUUUUCCUACAAGUCCAGGUAUGGCCAUUCUGGCUGUCCCCAGCCUGCUGCAAUGUACUGGGGCCUCACACCACUGCCCAGAGACCCUGUGCCCAGAUGACCCUAUGUCCAGGACACAGAGUCUCCUCAGGGAAGAGUGGAGGAGUAGGGGAAGGAGACACCAUGGAAAGUUCAAGAGAAAGGACCAGAAGGUUCUUCCAGGGCUAGACUCCCAGAGCAGCCAGAGAUCCCUCUCUAUCUUGUCCUACAAGAUCAGGUCUAGACCUGGCCAGCAGCUCCCAGGCUCUAACCCCACCCUCUCACCAGUGAGCUGGACCCACCUAGCCCCACCCACUGCCUGCUGUGAGGACUGCAGCCUUUAUUUAAAGUGCUCACUUGUUUAUUUGGAUGAGUUCCCUGAGUUAGAGCCACAACUCCUCAAGGGUCCUGAGGACUGGUAGCUGGUCCUGGGGUGACAAAAGGCAGGCAGCAUGCAGAGGAACUUGGUGAGGUGACUGUAAUGGAGAAUGAUCAGUUUCCCAGCUCUUAUACAUCUUGAGCAGAGAAGCAUCCUUGGGAUCAUUUCACUGCAAUGGCACCAUCAUGAAAUGGUGGCAUAUGGUGGCAAGAGCAGCAUCCAGCUGUUUUGGGCAUAGGGCAUCAGGCCUCAAAAGUCAGGAGUUGAGUAUUGGCAUGGGGUGUGGGUGACUGUGGUGGUGUCAGCAUGCAGCUGUGAUUUGGGAGUUCCUUGCUUCCUACUCAUGGUGGCGCUGACAGUGGAAGAAUCCAGAAACAGUGGUUGUAACAACAGAUGCAUCCAGCCAUGAGUGUUUUCAUCUGCCAUAGUGACAAGGGUCUGGCUGCAGUUGCAAUGAAGUUGGCCCCAGUACUGAGUGUCACUGUCUAGUAUCCAUGUUAAAGUCUGGUGGCAGCAGGGUGUAGCUCCAGAGUCUGGCAGGGGCGGGAGCAACAUGCAGCUGCAUCAGGGGUCCAGCCUCAGUAUAGGGGUUGGGCACCAGGUGUGGGGUGGGCAGUGUUGGAGUCCAUCUGGAGUUUGGAAGUUUGAGUGCUGCACAAUGGUGGUGGCACCAUAAGAGUUCAGAAGCAGGGGCAGCAACAACAGGCAGUGUCCAGCAGUGAGAAUCUUCAUCCUGCAGAAGUAACUGGGGUCCGGCUGCAGGGCAGUGAAGGUGGCAUCCAGUAGCCAUGUGGGGAGUCUGGUUGGCCGCAGCGAAGAGCUCCAGGCUGGCAUGUCAGCAAGGGCAUGGGAUAGUGGGUGUCAGAGUGAGAAGGUAACCGGUAGCUGGGAUGUCCUCUGUGGUGGAGGCUCCAGGCCCUGGUCUUGCUCCUGGUCGACUGGCCUGCUCAGGAAGAAGCACGUGGGAGGCAGUGGUACCCAGGCAGCUGCCCGGGACCUUAUGCUGCCCACAUCUGCCAUGUCUCGCUCUGGCCAUGAGCCCACUGGAUGUCUGCUCACCCCAUCACCUGAUAUAGCCUCUCUACUGAGGAACUAGGCUGUCUGCUAGGUUGGGGCGGUCUUGGGAGAGAACCUCACCAUACCCAGCCACAUCCUGCAUGGACUGUGGGUGCAGAAAGCAGAGGUCCUAGGACAUCGUCACCCCCAAAGUGCAUUUCUGUGGCUGGGGGUGGCAGAAGACCAAGACAGAGAACUCGUUGCCCUUAGACUCCCACUGCCACCUGUGCCCUCCACCCUUGUCCUGCCCCAGGGAUGCACUUGGAGGGUGAGGAUUUUCUAGGCCCCCCCACCUCCCACCUCUGCACUCUGCUACCACAGCCAAGGGGAGAUGUAGCUGGGGAGGGUGGGUGUCUUCUCCCAAGGCUGCCCAGCUGGCAGCAGGCCUACUCAUCCCUCAGAGGCUGCAACUCAGGGAGGGGCAGGGUGAACUCAAGGAUUAGGUGAGCAGCCUGGUGGACUCCAGGCCAAUGCCAGGCAUUGGUGGAAUGGGCAGCAUAAGGUACUCAGCAGGUGUCUGGGUACCACCAGCUCCUGCGCCCUGCUUCGUGAGCAGGCAGGCCCUACCAGGAGCAAUGCCAGUUGCCUGGAGGAGCCACUGCAGAGGCCAUCACAGCCUCUAGUCGUCCUCUGACUCGGAGGCCUGCUGUCCCAAGCUUUCACCAUCACCGCUAACAGAGCUCCACACUGCGGCCACUGGAGUCCCCACAGGGCCACCAGUGAUGCCGCAGCCACCAUCACUGCACUGGGACCAGACUCCUGCCACUACCAGAGGAUGAGAAUGCUCCUCUCUGGAUGCCUGGCUUGACGUUGCCACCUACAGACUCCUUGGUUGCCUUUGCCACCGCUGCCAUAACUGAACUUCAGACACCAAUACCUCCACAGAUUCCAAACGCCAAGGCUUCACUGCCCAGGCUCCUGCCCAUGGCUGUCCUCCAAGCCUGAGGCCAAUUCUCCAUCCUGCCACUGAUACAUCUGGGCUCCUCAAACUGCCUUAAGACACCUAGGCUCGCUGUUUGACAUUCUCCCCACAGAUGGAUGCUGACACUGCUCCUGGUCACUGGGAACCUCCAAUGGGAAACCCUGCUGUGGAACGCUGAGGUUGGCUUCUAUAUGCUUCAGUCCCAGAAACCAGACUUCUUUCACAGCCACUAGAUGCCUUUGCAGGUGCCACCUAUACCUCCAGGCUUGGGAAGGGUCCAGCACAUGCCCUUCCAUGCCUGCUGCCUGUUCAUAUCUGUCCGUGGAAUAAACCAUUGAUUGGGUUAAAGCUCUCAGAACUGAAUCAUUUCACUGAUAAUCCUUGUAUUGGCUCGCCCAUGAGCUUCUGGGGACACCUACUACCUAAAGCACAACACAUCUUCAUCGAAUAGCUUAGCAAGACCUUCUAGAUGACUUGCAAGAGCUUCUACAUCAGCACUUGUUUCUUUGCCUUGCACUUUUAUUUUAUGGAGAGGGGCCUCUUGCCAAAAACAUAAUGGACCAAACUCUGGCACCUUCAAACUUCUUCUGCAGCUUUCUCACUUCUCUUGUCAGUAUAACAAUCUAAAGUGAUGGCCUUAUCUGGAUUUGGCUUCAUCUUCAUAGAACGUGGGUUGUUUCUUCUUUUCUUCAGAAUAUAAAAAGUUUUUCCAGAUCAGCAAUAAGGCUGUUCUUGCUUUCUAGUCAUAUACAUAUGCCCUGGAGCAGCACUUUAAUUUCCUUCUUGAACAUUUCCUUUGCAUUCUCAGUGUGACAAAGUAGUGUAAGAGUCACAGCUUUUUAUUUGAAGUGCAAAACGUAAGAAGACUCUUCUUUUUAUUCAAACAAUACAGACCAUUACUGAGUCAUUAACGGUUCUAACUUCAAUAUUGUGUCUUGAAGAAUAAGAGGAUGGUGAGCCAUGAUCUGUGGAGCAAUAAGAAUGUACAUAUUAAGGUUUUUAUCUUAUAUGAGUGGGAUUUGUAGUGCCACAUGACAGUUAAAAUAGAUCAUAGUAUGAGUUAUAAUGGCCUAAAAUCUUCAACACUCAUUAGGCAGUCCCUUCUGCUCCAUAACAGGGGCAUCUAUCUCACCUCAUCCUUCAUGGCCUGUUUGCAUCCUCUCUCACAGCACCUAUGAGCUCUACAUGGGCUCCGUCAGCAGAUACGCAGUACUGGUGGUGGCACAGCCUGGUGAAUGGAUUAAGCACUUUUAGGUCAACAUAAAAGAAUGUCACUAAAAAUACUUACAAUGCCAUAAGAAUUAGCAUCACAAAAAAUAAAAUAGAUAAUCUCAGAGGGGAGGGGAAGGAUAGCUGUGCUGGGGGUUCUGGCACUGGGUAAUGCUCAGGAGCUCACAUGUGGGAGAUGCCAUUGAAAAGUUUAGAACUAGGGAAGUGAGGAUACAUUCUAGGAGAUGUGGAGGGCUGUGGCCUAAUAGUUUCUUGACCUCCUGCCUCUAUUGUUUUGGACCCUGAAUUUAUAUUGCUGCCAGGAAAGGUGGCUCUCUUUCAAAGGAUGGGAUGGCAGCUUGGAGCACCAUAUGUACUAUCUAUCUAUCUAUCUAUCUAUCUAUCUAUCUAUAUAUAUAUAUAUAUAUAUAUAUAUAUAUAUGUAUAUCUAUAUAUAUAUAUAUAUAUAUAUAUAUAUAGAGAGAGAGAGAGAGAGAGAGAGAUAUCAAGUGGAAGAUAAUAAUGUUCAAUAUCCACUGACUUUCUUAUUGGCAGCUAAGCUUCCUCCUCUUCUUGAAGGUUCAGUGGCCACGGGUGGCUCCAUAUCUUCCUGUGUGGUCAAUGCUGGUGUAGGACCAACCUCUGAUUUUGAGGGCUAUUUCUCCUCCUUCACAGGGAAUGUGAUAGCAUGCUCCCCCAAAUGUAAGCAAGUAAAUUGGGCCACAGCUGCUCGAGGCAAUUAUAUCACUUGAUAUGGUGCUAGAGCUGCAAGAGAAAACACCCAACGUGACUGAAUUUCCUUGGGCCUUUCACAAUUCACCCCAGAACCCUGCCUCUGAGAAUACUCCUGGCCCUCCUCCACAAUUGGCCAUCUUCCCAGACUAGGUUCCACCAGCUGAAGGAUGUUAGCAUUGUGUGUCUUGGGAACAUAUGGCAGAUCCCAGGGGAACCAGCUGAGAUUCCUCUGCACACACCAUCAGUCAUCUGCCCCAGACCCCAUCAUCAGAGAGCUCAGACUUACAGGAUCUGUGUUCUUCAGCUGGGGAAGGACAUGGAAGUUCCCCUCUGAUUCAGGCAUAAUGACAAACAGGAAGGUCCUGAAAAGCUUCAGGUUGUCCAAGUCUUGGGACCUCAAAAAUAUUCUGGAUAGAGGUACAGCUGCAUUUUGAUGAUUGAGCAGAGGGUUCUGUGGAAUGUGGAGUGAAACAGGGAGUCAUGAUGGACAGGGCCUCUCUUUUAACUGGAACCUCCCAAGGUCCCUGCAUCAUGGGUUCCCAAAGAGUAGCCAGGCAGUUCCAUGCACCCGAUCAAAAGGGCAACCUGUGAGGCACAUAUGUGUGUAAGCGGCUCCCCACACUUGCUCUCCGGUCUCUGUACAAAAAAGCAUGGGCAACCCAGGUUUGGAUUGGCGGUGUUGGGGAGGGUUCCUCACAGGGCUUGGCUCUGAGGCCCCAACCAAUACUCUGUUCCUUUGGUGCCCAGAAUCAAAUGCACCACCAUAUGUUCUUUCUACGGGGUAAACCCCCAGAGUUGAGUCCUCUGCUGGAAAUCACACAGGGUGGAAAUUGGGGUUUGCCCAGCCAUCAUUUAUAACAGCUCCCCAUGAAACAGGAGCCCUCCUGACUAGCCCAAAGACCACUCCCUUCUUUCCUUGAAGCUACUCCUCACAAACAUCUGGCUGCAGGUUUCUAUACCUAGAGAUGGUGAGGAGGCUGACACCUCUAACAUCCUGUGCCCCUCAUCUGCCAAGAUGGCUGGUGGGCUUGACUAACUUCCUGACAAUAUUGGAACUCCAGGAGGACUAGAAGGUUUGUCUGCAUUGAUUCCUAAAUAAUAGGCCAAAUGAUGGCCCAUGGUGGUGCUACACAUACACUUGAGUGAUGACUGAGCCAAGCCACCUACUGCCUAGCUAUUCAGAGCCAGGACCCUAUUCGUUUCUCCCCAAGUGUCCCAGUUCUGACUACAUGCAGGUUGGAAUGCUCCCAGAUGCAAUCCACAGACUCCAAAUUUGGAAAUUGUUUUUUCCUGAAGCCUCAGAAUUGUAAGGCCUGAGGCAGAGAACUUUCUCACAGGGAGGGGAUAUGCCCACAGGGUAAGGCCAGAGGCACAGGCUGCCUAUAGUUACACAGAACCAGGCCUGAGGCAGACACUCUUUGGGCUCAUCCUACUCGGUUUUCUAAACAUCCAGGCAGGCUGCUCCUCUGAAAACACUACUUUCCCCAGAGCUGACUGAGUUCCCAGAAUUCCCAGCACCAAGCAGGAGAUGGCCAUGUGCCAGGGCAUGGAAGCAAUACACAUCUUUUACACAGCAGCUCCAGCACCUUCUGAGGAAUGUCCAAAUUUUGGAGGAAUACAGUCCCUUUCAAGAAUUGAAGACAGUAGCUGCUGCAUAGUUUCCAAUGAGGCUGCUGACCUGGGAAGGCAAGGCCCAUCAGGCCUGUGAGGAGACUGCACUUUGCAUCAGUGAAGCUCCACAUGGAUUCAGGUUGCUCUGUCCUGGUGGCCAAUGCACCUGCUUCCUCAGAUCACAGCCAGUAAACGUCAUGGUCUUGGCCAAAGGUGGGUUCAUGUCAUUCUACAACUGUUCAUUCCCACAGAAUGUACAUCAGCAAGAGUAAAGAAUAAGGUAAGUUCCAGACUGUAGGUGACAAUGAUGUUGGUUUUUGAACUGGAAAAAAUGUGCCUCUCUGGUGGGUAGUGAUGGGGACAGAGGCAGAGACUGUGCAAGGAUGGGAGCAUUUGGGAAAUCUCUGAUCUUCCCCUCAAUUUUGAGCUUAAAAAUGUUCUAAAAAGUUAUCAAGUAAAAAACAAGAGGAGGAAGAAGUGUGCUUUAUCACUGCACUGGGAGAGGCUGAGGGCAGGCAACCAGAGCUUGGGGCAAACAGACCCAGCACCUCCUUCCCAACCUGCCUCUCUCCAAGCUCAGCACAGCAUGGCCUUCAAGGGGCUUCAGGGUCUUUAUAGAGAAGCUGUCUGAUGGUGACAGCUCAGAAGCCCUGCCUGACACCUUCUCAGAAGGCCUUGAUGGGAGACUCAGAUUUAGGGUGGCCCACCUCUCCCUCUCUGUCCCUGGGCUGUCCCUACUUAUCUCCAUUCCACCCCUGCUCCCUCAGAGGCUGCCAGCUGCUUGCUGCCUGAUCACCUUUAAGCUGCCCUUCCCACUUCUUGGCCCAGCAGCUCCUGUCCAUCAAUAUGCUCUCAGCUCUCAUGACACUUCCUCUGAGAAGCCCAUUCUGACUGCCACCUAGGAACACCCUGACCCUCUCUCUCCUCUGUUUCCUCAACCAUUUCUGAAUUCAUCCUAUUUCUUCAUCAGUUUACUUGUCCUUGCUCAGUCUCUCCUUCUAGACUGUGGGCUCCAAGAGGGUAGGGGGCCUUCCUUGUGCUCACUGUUGUCUCCCCAGCUCCCCCAGGAUUGGAAAGGAGGGCUUGGGAGCUGUGGAAAAGUCAUAGGGUGAGGAUAUAAUGAGAAGUGGGUCAACUGCAACCUGAGGGAGGGCCCUCACCAUAUCCUGCCAUCCUGGUCCCCUGAUCUUGGCCUGCCAGCCUCCAGAUCUGUGAGAAAUCAGUUUCUGAUGUUUCAAAGCCACACAGUUGAAGGUCGUAGUUACAACUGCCUCCACUGAUUCAGACCUGGGCAAUGUGAGCCAGGCUUGGGUACUGCACUCUGGACACUUGGAAGUACCCAGGAAAGCUGAGGAUGCUCUCUCCAUGCAGCAAGUUGGUGUCUGUUUGUACAAUAUCAGGGUCUGCUCACCUGAUCCAGUGGACACCUGGCAAAUAGUAAGCCUGCAGGCAGCACUUAGGACGAAAGAGAGGCACAGGGGCAAAAUCAGCCACCUCUACUGCAAGGGGCUGUGUUCUAAAUGCAGCUGCUCUCACCCCUUCAGUGGGGACAUCUGUGGCUUGCCUGCUUGGCUUUCAUCUCCCUGUCUCGUCAUUUACCCUUGAAUAUUUUUGGUGACUCUUUUCUUUCUCUCACACAAUGAUUCAGCCCCUCCAGGCUUGACCACUGAGAUCAAUCCAUCCCACCAUGAUGGGCAGAAAGAAGCAGUGACCCAGGCUGGCCCAUGACAUUCACUAUCAUCUUAGGACACUGUCUUUUCCUCCAAUACCAAACUAGAAGAUUGUGUCUCUAAAGCUGCUGGGCAACAUGCCACCACCCCCAGAGACAGGGUGGGCAAAGAAGGCUUGCAGGGAGAUGGAGAGAGGCAGUGUCCUGAUGAUGACACUGCAACCUCUGGAUAAAGCUGUGCCUGAAUCUGUUGUGUUCAGCCCACAAUUCCCAAAUAUGUGAAACAAAGCAAUCCACUUGUCAGUCUUUCUUUCUCCUGUAAAGUUAUGCUUGUUUACUUAUUGAUCUAGCGAACAUUGUUAGGGUUUAUCCAAUUUGAAAGGUGGACCACUUUGCUGCUUCAUAGCUGUGUGGCCUUGGCUCAAGUCCUUAAACCCUCAGAGCUUCAACUUCCUUGCUAAUAAAGAGGAGUUGCUACUUUCACCUACACAAGAGGAAGUCAGCCUUGUGGAUUAUAUGAGACAAGGCAAAGCACUUAGGAUUGAUGUUUGAUGAACUGAAGAUUCUAUAAUUCUAGUCUACUAAUUAAGCAUAAUUGACUGAAGAAUCACUACAGGGAAUGCUUUCAAAGACCCAAGUAUCACUGAGUGUCUGACUCCUCAGAGGUGACUAGCUAUAAAUCCAGAGGCUGGACUAAUCUCCACCAUGGCCCAAGAGACAGUAAAUGGGAAGCAGAGCAGCAGAAGUCUGUUUGUCAUUCUCCUGUGUAAGGUGGUUAAGAUGAUGGGACUCUGCCUGCCAAAGGAGCAGUCCACAUACCUGAGACCCCCAAGAAGUGGCCUCUGUCUCUUGGUGGUGGUGGCUCUGGGUAAUGCGAAUGUGUGGGUGCAGGAGGGAGACUUUCCUCUCCUUUGCUGAACACUGGGCCCUCUUUGGCAGGCCCACUCAACAUGGACCUCCCCAAACAGGCCUACCUGUCCCCAGGAGCUUGUCUCUCCUUUAAGGCCCCCUCACUGAGACCCACACAACUGUUCCUGCAAAACAGGGGGUCCCAACCACUCACCUCAAGGUAUGCCGCCAACCUGGAGGAUCUUCACACUGCAUCCACCCCUGCACACAGCUUAAAGACACCACAGGUACCCCAUACCUUCAGCCCCAGAACCCUAAACUCAUGGGUCACCCCUCCAGCCCUCCAGAGGUAGAUGCUCAUCCUGGGUGAGCCUGCCUACAAUGUGGCAGCUCCUGUCACCAGGGAGCACCCCUCCAAGAACCAUUGCCCCCACCCAAGUUGGCUGUGCCUUCCCAGAUGUGCGUCCUGCACCUACCUUCUUCCUCAAGAUCAGCGGUAGCUUCAAUACUCUGCAGCAGCUUCUGCCUUAUGCCGGGUCUUCAUCUCUAGGGGACAAGCCGGUGGGCAUGGGUGACCACAUGGUAGAAGCAUUCUGGGCUGUCCACUCCCCAGCCCACCUGGACCUUCCUUACCUGAGGGAGCAGCAGCCCUGGCUCUCACAGCAUCCUUUGAACAGAAAGGGAUGGGGGACCCUUGCGAAUAUGUGCCUGGUAAGGGCAGUGUGUUUGGUCUGCUACAACUCAGGUGGGCAUGGGUAGAGCCAGGGACUGCCAAGUUCUGAACUCAGAGCCAGGUGCCUCCCACUACAGUUGAACCAUUCACUAGGAGGGCACCAUCACCUAAGAUCAGCUUGGAAAGUGUUGGAAAAUUUUCCUGGAGACAAAAGCCUUCCUCAGGACCUGAGGAUCUCCUCACCUGAUCCACGCUGCCCUCACAUGGACUCAUACCAGCAUCACAGAGCAAUGGUGCAGUAGCUUAACCACAAGAGGACUCUGCUUCCUGCAGUGUCACUUCAGGCCCUCUACUGAGGAAGCCGACAUCAUGCACUGUGUAAAUGGGAAAUGGUGUAAAAGCCAGGCUAUGGUGGAGGAGCAAACACUGAAGGAAGGAAGGAAAUAAAAUCAGAGCCAAUAUUAAUGGACCUGACAACAAACAUAACAACACUAAGGACCAAUGAAACAGUUGUUUCUUUAAAAAGGUAAACAAGAUUGAUAAGCCCCCAUGCUAAAGUAACCAAGAGAAAA